UCUCCGUAGGUGAACCUGCGGAGGGAUCAUUAAAGUAUAACCAAGGAUCAAGGGCUGUCGAUGUGCCGAACAGUAGUACAGGGGCAAAUAGCCCCCCACACAUCCAUUUGACCACUAAGUGGACGACCAAGGUAAUCCGCGUUUUGCUUGUUCGGAGGUGGCCUUACGAUUUCAAAUAACCUUAUGUAGAAGUGUUGAUGUUAUUUUGAGUUCUUUCGAAAACGCAUUCAAUACAACAUUCAACAACGGAUAUCUUGACUCUUACAUCGGUAAAGAUAGUAUCAAGGUGGCCGAGUGAGAACCUGCGGAGUAUUAACUAUUGUGUACCCGUGUUUCGUGACCUGCCGCUGACCCGAAGCUUAGUGCCUGUCCUAGAGCACUCACAAGCAGCCAACUGUACCCGAUGUUAUCUCUCUCUUGGGUCCCCCUUUUGAUAGUUCUGAGGCGGGCUUAAGUUUUUUCAUAAACUUUCUAUGUCGUGUAGAAAGUAUUUUUCGUUAUUGCGAUAACGAAAACAAUACAACUUUCAACAACGGAUCUCUUGGCUCUU
rnacentral:misc_RNA from 1 species